CCAGGUCUUAAAUGGGUCACAAAGACAUCAGUUAGAUAACUGCAGAAAGUAAAUAAAUAUAUAUAUAUUUAUUUAUUAUAAUUUUUUUUUAUUCUGAAACAGUAUAAAUUAAUUAAUAGAAAAAGAAACUCCCAAGAAGUGUUUUAAAAUGAAAAGGAAAUCGUUUUUAUUUAUUUUAGAUAAUAAAUAAAAUAAAAACUUUUAGGCGCUAAACAGCAGCCAAUCAGUUCUUCAGAUGAUCCAAGGUGCAAAACAGCAGCCAAUCAUAAUAAUCCUUUAAGGGACAGAGGCGGAGCCUGUUGGUUAGUGGACGUCAAUCCCUGGCUGUUUCAACCCAGAAAGUUCUGCGGGAGAAGAGAGACAGGUCAUGUAAGAAGUUCUCAGUUCAAAGUAUUAUAAAAAUACUAGAAAACGCUAGAAUUCAGUGCUGUAGAUAGUGAGUAAAUCACUACCAAGCUGACCGCUGUUAGAUUUGAGGCUGCAGAGUGGAGGAAGGGAGAGAGGCUCACUCAUUGUGCCUCGUGAAACUUUGCCAGUUACACGCUCCGGUAAUCUCCAGGUGGAGGUAGAACCUGGUGUCCAUGUGCCCUGGGGUGGUGUGUGAAACCCCUGGAUAGGAUUCGGCCAGUUUUUUUGUUGGGUGGAAUGGAUUGGAUGAUCUUCCCGAACACUCCUCGUGUCGUUCAGCUGCACACGACCGGUGCAGUGCCCGGUGCUAGGAUGGCGAGCCAAGCUCGAGGACCCAAGUGACUUCAUUACACUUCAUUCACAUUUUUCAAACACUUGAUAGUGAACAUUAAAGAAAAUUCGUGGAUUGUUUUUUUUUUUUGAAAGAAAAGGACACUCUUGAAUACAAAGAUACUGAAAAGGGUUAAACUUUAA